GAUGAAGAACGUAGCGAAAUACGAUAAUUAAUGUGAAUUGCAGAAUUCCGUGAAUCAUCGAGUCUUUGAAUGCACAUUGCACCUCAUGGCAUUCCGUGAGGCAUGCCCAUCUCAGCGUUAGAAAAUAUUCUCAAAUUUUAGUUUUGUGCUAAAAUUUGGAUCAUGUCAAAGAAGCUAUUACUAUUAUUGUGAUCGCUCUUUGGAAAUUGAUAGGUCUUUGAGUUGCUACUCAUAGAACGUGAUGAAUCUUUCUUCGUUCUAUUGUAAUUCACUCUGGUAGUCCUAAAACUUGUAUGCCUGUGGCAUAUCUUGUAAUUUGACCUGAGAUUGGGUAGGGAUACCCGCUGAACUUAAGCAUAUCAAUAAGCGGAGGA
rnacentral:misc_RNA from 1 species